UGAGCACGGAAGGAUUCGAACCUUCGUCCGCCAGAAUCGGAAUCUGAAACUCUAAUCCACUGAGUUACGUGCCC
rnacentral:tRNA from 1 species